AGCUUGUUGGUAGGGUAAUGGCCUACCAAGGCAACGAUGGUUAGCUGGUCUGAGAGGAUGAUCAGCCACACUGGAACUGACACACGGUCCAGACUCCUACGGGAGGCAGCAGUGAGGAAUUUUGCGCAAUGGGGGAAACCCUGACGCAGCAACGCCGCGUGAGUGAUGAAGGCCCUCGGGUCGUAAAGCUCUGUCAAGUGGGAAGAAAAUGUAAAAUGUUAAUAGCAUUAUACACUGACGGUACCACUGAAGGAAGCACCGGCUAACUCCGUGCCAGCAGCCGCGGUAAUACGGAGGGUGCAAGCGUUAUUCGGAAUUAUUGGGCGUAAAGGGCGCGUAGGCGGCCUUCUAAGUCAGAUGUGAAAGCCCGGGGCUUAACCCCGGAAGUGCAUUUGAAACUAAAGGGCUUGAGUAUGGGAGAGGGAAGUGGAAUUCCUGGUGUAGCGGUGAAAUGCGUAGAUAUCAGGAGGAACACCGGUGGCGAAGGCGACUUCCUGGACCAAUACUGACGCUAAGGCGCGAAGGCGUGGGUAGCAAACAGGAUUAGAUACCCUGGUAGUCCACGCAGUAAACGGUGAACACUAGGUGUAGCGGGUAUUGACCCCUGCUGUGCCGCAGCUAACGCAUUAAGUGUUCCGCCUGGGGAGUACGGUCGCAAGAUUAAAACUCAAAGGAAUUGACGGGGGCCCGCACAAGCGGUGGAGCAUGUGGUUUAAUUCGACGCAACGCGAAGAACCUUACCUGGAUUUGACAUCUCGGGAAGUCUUUUGAAAGAAAGAUGUGCCCUUCGGGGAACCCGGUGACAGGUGCUGCAUGGCUGUCGUCAGCUCGUGUCGUGAGAUGUUGGGUUAAGUCCCGCAACGAGCGCAACCCCUAUCUUUAGUUACCAUCAUUUAGUUGGGGACUCUAAAGAUACUGCUCCGGUUAACGGGGAGGAAGGUGGGGAUGACGUCAAGUCCUCAUGGCCUUUAUGUCCAGGGCUACACACGUGCUACAAUGGGCUAUACAAAGGGUUGCGAACCCGCGAGGGUGAGCUAAUCCCAUAAAGUAGCUCCUAGUUCGGAUUGGAGUCUGCAACUCGACUCCAUGAAGCUGGAAUCGCUAGUAAUCGUGGAUCAGCAUGCCACGGUGAAUACGUUCCCGGGCCUUGUACACACCGCCCGUCACACCAUGAGAGUUGGUUGUACCAGAAGUUGUUGGACUAACCUGUAAGGGAAGUAGGCACCUAAGGUAUGGCUGAUGAUUGGGGUGAAGUCGUAACAAGGUAGCCGUUGGGGAACCAGCGGCUG
rnacentral:rRNA from 1 species